rnacentral:misc_RNA from 1 species
AAUCCCCUGGGUUUUCCGAGACCCAGCGGGAUGUUGGACCUGGGCGCCUGCCAUGCUUGGCUCGCCUCAAAAGCGUCAGUGGGACAGGACCGAUGGCCUGACGUGAUAAGUUUCGUCAAGCCCGCGGCCCUGGCCUGCUACCAAAACCCCAUAUCUUUACUUCUGACCUCAAAUCAGGUAGGGCUACCCGCUGAACUUAA